GCCUACGGGGGGCUGCAGUGAGGAAUUAUGCGCAAUGGGGGAAACCCUGACGCUGCGACGCCGCGUGGGUGAUGAAGGUCUUCGGAUCGUAAAACCCUGUCGAGAGGGACGAAUAGCUUGGGUGUUAAUACCAUCCAAGCCUGACUGUACCUCUGGAGGAAGCCCCGGCUAACUCCGUGCCAGCAGCCGCGGUAAUACGGAGGGGGCGAGCGUUGUUCGGAAUUACUGGGCGUAAAGCGCGCGUAGGCGGGCGUGCAAGUGCGCUGGGAAAGCCCUCGGCUCAACCGAGGAACUGCGUCCGAUACUGCUCGACUUGAGUCCGGUAGGGGAUGGCAGAAUUCCCGGUGUAGCGGUGGAAUGCGUAGAUAUCGGGAGGAAUACCGAUGGCGAAGGCGGCCAUCUGGGCCGGAACUGACGCUGAGGCGCGAAAGCUAGGGGAGCAAACAGGAUUAGAUACCCGAGUAGUC
rnacentral:rRNA from 1 species